rnacentral:rRNA from 1 species
UGGUCAAGUUAUUAAGGGUGCAGGGCGGAUGCCUUGGCACUAGGAGCCGAUGAAGGACGUGAUAAGCUGCGAUAAGCUUCGGGGAGUUGCACGUAAACUUUGAUCCGAAGAUUUCCGAAUGAGGAAACUCACUUAGAGUAAUGUCUAAGUAUCAUUAAGUGAAUACAUAGCUUAAUGAGGGGAACUCAGGGAACUGAAACAUCUAAGUACCUGAAGGAAGAGAAAGAAAUUCGAUUCCGUAAGUAGCGGCGAGCGAACGCGGAUUAGCCCAAACCAAUAAAGUUUUCUUUAUUGGGGUUGCGGACAUAUCAUAACGAAGAGGUAUCGUAAUUGAAGAGGUUUGGAAAGACCCACCACAGAAGGUAAUAGUCCUGUAUGUUAAACGAGAAGACUUUAGAUAUGAUCCAGAGUACCACGGGACACGUGAAACCCUGUGGGAAGCAGGAGGGACCACCCUCCAAGGCUAAAUACUACCUAGUGACCGAUAGCGUAUAGUACCGUGAGGGAAAGGUGAAAAGAACCCCGGGAGGGGAGUGAAAUAGAACCUGAAACCCUGCACUUACAAGCUGUGGAAGCACAUUUCUUGUGUGACCGCGUACUUUUUGUAGAACGGGCCAACGAGUUACGUUAAGUAGCAAGGUUAAGCACUUAAGGUGUGGAGCCGUAGCGAAAGCGAGUUUUAACUGAGCGUUCAGUUACUUGACGUAGACCCGAAACCGGGCGACCUACCCAUGAGCAGGAUGAAGCGAAAGUAAAAUUUCGUGGAGGUCCGAACCCACGAGCGUUGAAAAGCUCGGGGAUGACUUGUGGGUAGCGGUGAAAUUCCAAUCGAGCCCGGAGAUAGCUGGUUCUCCCCGAAAUAGCUUUAGGGCUAGCCUCAAGGUGAGAGAUACGGAGGUAGAGCA